rnacentral:lncRNA from 1 species
CUGAAUUGUCAUCCAAAUGAGGGGAAGGACAAGAGCCAUGCUGGCAAAGCAUCUUCCUGCCUGCAUGGUACCCAACAACUUUGGGUGAAUUGCUGGUGUCUGAUGGUAGCAAUUGUAAGUUAGCAUCUGGCUCAGUCCUAUCGUUGUCAGAGCAGCAAAACUUGCACAUGUUCAAAAACAAUACAAUGGAAUAAUAACAUCUAGGAAUUGAUUAAAAAUUAGCAAUAAGGAUUAAACCCAGUGAUGAGACCCAAUGAGGAUAAUCCAACUUCCCAGGAAUUCAGUAAAAAAAAGAAGUUUGCUUCAGAAAACAACACAGUUUGAGACAUGACUUCAGAAAUACAAUGACAAAUAUGAACCAUUUAAUACAAUUUACUUUGAGAUGGAAGAAGAUAUUGUGUGUUGUUGGAAUGCUUGACAAUAG